AAACUUAGACAUCUUGUUGGAAUCCUUUUAUAUUGAAAUCGUGCUAUAAAAGUACUUAAUGUCACCUAAAAUCUCACUUCGCCUUUUUUUUUGAAAUGUUGUAUAGAUGUGUCGUGUCUGAAAGGUCAAUUUUGAAAUUGACGUUUCUGACACUUGUUUCUGUGUUAGAUAUUUACAUUUGUAUCCAUUUUUAGGAAACACAUUUUUAUAGUUGUGUCACAAAGAUAUGAAUAUAAGUGCGUAUUUGACACGGAUACAAGCGUUCAAAACGUCAAUAUUAAAAUUGAUUUUUCAAACGCAACAUGUCUCUACAACAUUUAGAUAAAUGAGGAGGUGGUGUUUUAGGUGUCAUUAAAGUACUUUUAUGGCAGAUCUCAUCAGAAAAGUUAACAAGAAGUGUCUAAGUUU
rnacentral:pre_miRNA from 1 species